rnacentral:rRNA from 1 species
GACGAACGCUGGCGGCAUGCCUAACACAUGCAAGUCGAACGGAGAUUAUUUCGGUAAUCUUAGUGGCGAACGGGUGAGUACCGCGUGGGCAACCUGCCCUCUAGAUGGGGACAACAUCCCGAAAGGGGUGCUAAUACCGAAUGUGACAGCAAUCUCGCAUGAGGAUGCUGUGAAAGAUGGCCUCUAUUUAUAAGCUAUCGCUAGAGGAUGGGCCUGCGUCUGAUUAGCUAGUUGGUGGGGUAACGGCCUACCAAGGCGAUGAUCAGUAGCCGGUCUGAGAGGAUGAACGGCCACAUUGGGACUGAGACACGGCCCAGACUCCUACGGGAGGCAGCAGUGGGGAAUCUUCCGCAAUGGGCGAAAGCCUGACGGAGCAAUGCCGCGUGAGUGAUGAAGGAAUUCGUUCCGUAAAGCUCUUUUGUUUAUGACGAAUGUGCAGAUUGUGAACAAUGAUCUGUAAUGACGGUAGUAAACGAAUAAGCCACGGCUAACUACGUG